CGGCUCACCGACGUGACUACGUGGCGGCCAUGUUUGGGAGGUUGACGGUGACAUAUAAAGGCAAUGCAUAGACACUGAAAUUAAGUCGUAACUUGCUCAUUUCUCCACCGAUUUGUAUGCGAUGCUACUGUUUUGUUCCAUCUGUGCGGAUAGUGAGGCUCAUCACAUCAGUGGAACAUUUCAUUCGCCAGUGAAGUCAGAACCAGGGCAAAACAUGAAUGUGCCCGCUUAACCUAAACCAGUUUUUCUGUCCAGACGUUGAUUCACUGGACAAUAUUUUUUUCCAGGGGCACAUCGAUGAUACAUAGUGUGGCAUUGAGGACCACUAUUUUGGUCUCAUGUCAGAGGUCAGUUUUACACAAACUGAGAUUCCAACACAUGGCUAAAUUGACAACACUAAAGAGGCUGUGUAAGACAGUCAUUGUCCAAGGUUUUAAAUAGAUACAAUUAUAUAUCUAUUUAAUAAAAUAAUAAUAAUGACCACAUUGGUUUAAGUGGUUGCUGUGAUGCAUAUUCAUUCAUUUGUUCAUUCAUUUCCCAUACCGCUUAUCCUUACAAGGGUCGCGGGUGUGCUGGAGCCUAUCGCAGGGCACAUAUAAACAAACAACCAUUUGCACUCACUUUCACACCUACGGGCAAUUUAGAGUCUUCAAUUAACCUACUAUGCAUGUUUUUGGGAUGUGGGAGGAAACCGGAGUACCCGGAGAAAACCCACGCAGGCACGGGGAGAACAUGCAAACUCCACACAGGCAAGAUGGCGUAGAGCUUCUACGAUACGUUGCCUCACGUUGUGCUGCUGACCAAGCUGAGCCAACAACAACAUGGGAGGUAAUCUCUGUGGUUAAGUGAGGCCUAAUAAAAUCAACUGGUGCUUCUCAAAAUGCCACUCAUGCCACACAGAUUGAGACAUUAAGAGUCUCCCUUCAUGUAUAUGGUACUGUGAUGCAUGCUCCAGUUUUCUAAUCCUUCACCAGUCUCGAUCUAAUUAAAGGCCUCAUCCUCGCCACCUCAUUUUAAAAAGUCACUCCCUUCAAUUACUGAUGACAAGUGAGAACCGACGCACAUUAACCUCCUACAUGAAGAGCUCCUCUGGCUGCCCACCAUCUCUCUCUGCAAUAACAUAGUGGCCAAUCCAAAGGCAAUUCCACCUCUUUGGAAUCUGAUAAGACAGUGCUUUUUCAUGCUAUGUUUUGCAAUAUGUUUUGGUCACAUGGCCCACUGCUGGCAAAGUCAGCAGUGAGGGCUCGUGCUGGGGUGUUAAUUAUUGUCGAUGCAUGUUUGCCAUGUGAUGUCUCCAAGCUUCCUGCAAGAGAGAACAACAAGACUGACAAGACCUCAGAAAUGGGAUGAUGAUCCGCCUCAAAUGACUGCGGGCUACGGGAGACGUGACCUAUUUCUUGCACCUAUUUCACGUUGAAGCGCAUAUAAAAUUGAUUGACUUUGCCACUAUUAAAACGGACACCGGGCCGUCGUAAUGUGAUCACACCAGUGACAGCUACGCUCAGCGAGGUUUAUGGAGAUAUUAAAAUAGACCAAAUUAAAAGUGAAAUGGCAUUCGUCUUCACAUGGUCUGAUGCAGAGUAGCUGCAGCAUAAAUCUGAAGAAAAUUGAUGUUUCCUAAUGUUCCCUGUCGGGAUUCAUCUCCUAACACUACUACGUUAACUAAAGCAAGGUACACACAUACUGAUAAUCUGGCCAAAUAUAAUUUGAUCAAAAUCAGCAAAGGCCUGAUUUUCAGAUGUCUCUGAAAGAGUAUCCUGAGAGAUCUGGUGCUGUAGGGUGCGAUAAGAGUAUUUUUUCCACCCCUAACUGCUUAGAAAACAGUUUAGGCUGACAAUCGUAACGGUUGAACAUGUUAAAAAUGUAUUAUCGCGAAUCUUUACGUACGUGUGAGGUCACCACUGAGUUGAUUGUGACGUGAAACUGAAUGAUAGACAAUCAAGAAGCUUGCUUAUGCUCAUCAUGUUGCCAGACAUAAAUAAAGGCGCUAAUGGUUGUGCAGUUAGCCUAGCUUCUUU